rnacentral:lncRNA from 1 species
AAGCUGAACAGAAAGAUGAGGUCAAAGUUCCCAGCGCCUCGCCCCCACUUCUGCCCUCACAGUCUCGCUGUCGAUCAUGCAGGAAUCCAAACAGCCCCAUUCCCAGGGGCUGAGGAGAAAAAAAAAACAAUUUGUGAAGCUAUUUUUGGACAUAGUGGGGCAAAACAUUUCCCUACUCAAACAGGUCAAGUCCAACAGCAGUGAAACAACACCAAUACGGCCCACGGCCAAACUGAGCAUUUCAACCCGUUAUCAAGAGGGUGCAUUCACCCGGGGGGGCCACAGGGACCAAGGGCCCUUCCAAGAUCAACUUUCUGUGGCUCAUGAAAGACGCUGCCCCUUCCACCAAUGCUCUGUGCGGGAUCGGGUCUGGAGAGCUGGUCCCGCUGCAGGAAGAGGCGAAAGAGGAAGAGAAAGCAGGCGUGUGUGCCCGCUCCGUGCACUUGAGGGAAAUUGCACAGCCCUCCAGCGGAAAUCUUGGAGCAGCCCUCAAAGACGCAAAAGCAACGCAUCCUCCUAGAAGCCUAAACGUUUGGAACGCAGGGACAGAAGCCGCAAAUCUCCCUGAUGCCGACUCAUUCUGCAACCUGUCACCUGCAUCAAAGAGCCGGAGAGGCAAGUCUGGACAGAACUGGCUGCUCAGAGCCCUGUGGGAGCUUCCUCCCAGAAAGAACGAGAAGGCUGGGGACCGAGAGAAGGGGACAGAGACAGAGGGGAGGGAAAGUCAGCACCAGGGAGAGGGAAAAAAGAGCCACCUGGAACAGCAGACGCGCAGACACCAGGACGUGGAGAGGACAAGCCAGGGAAAACGUAGUUUUCUAUGCUGACACGUCAGCAAGCGUAUCAUCUGGGUGUAUGCAUGGCUGUGACAGAGGCACCAUUACUCAUGCUUGAGUGAAAGAAAUAAGACCCAUCCAGUGCUUAGGCGCUAUUCUCGCUGGCAUUGAUUCUCACAAAGGCAGCACCUGCAUGCUUUGUGCGUCUUGAUGCAGUGACGUCACCCUCUCACCUGGGAAACCUAAACCACCAAAUCCCCUGCAUCCCACUUCACUUCCCUCCACCAUUAUGGUUCCAUUUAAAAGGGCAAAAUAUGAACUGCUUGACCUGUGGUACCUUAAGGCACAAUUUGAGUCUAAUGGAAUAAAUGUGUUCAUACAAGUCCUGAGAACA